ensembl:lncRNA
AUUUUUACAGUAAUUGCAGACCUUCUUACCUGUUGCCCUCUCACAUCUAUUCUUCUUCAAGCACAGUAAGAUUAGCAAUCAUUUAUAGCAAUGAUAGUAUUAUCAUUUUGGAAUCAUCUAGUUUAAACCAGGACUAAGGUAUCAUGAAAUGAACUGCCUUCCCUUGGUAACAAAUGGUAGUGUUGAGGCGAGUUGGUUGUCUGGGCAAGGAGGAGACUGAGAAAGAGAGGGAGAAGCACAGCAAAGUUUCAGAUGUGUUGUCAAAUCUGGAUUGCAGAGGCUGAUUUCACACUAUCAUUCUCUCUUCAGAAAGUAACUUGACUGAUAUGAAAAAUCCACGUGCAAAUACUGUAAACUGUAAAACCUCUAGGAAGUCUUCACUGCAACCAGGCUAUAAUCUUGUCACUGUCUAUCAUUUGGAGCCAUGGAUCUCACUGCAUCAGGGAGAUGUCUACUGUUUCUUUUUUUUCUUCUUCUUCCUUUCUUCCAGUGUUUUCAGCUCUUCCAGCUCUCUUUCCUCUGUUCCUGUUUCCCCGCACAAGUGCCGAGAUCCUUCUGUGGUACAGAGGGGCCAACAGCAGAACCAAGAAAUGUGGGGAAAACUGCCGUUGCAACAGGAACACUGGAUCUUUCCUCUUCUCACUGAACAUCCUGCGUUCUCCCCUCAGGACUCAAGACAGCUCAGUGGAGAGGAGAGUUCCAGAUGGAAGUACAGAUUCUGUUAUAGCAGAGUGGAGGAAGAGAAAUCUUAAACCAGGGGCAUUUAAUCACCUGCAGAGAGAGAGAGGUUGAAAAGAAAAAUGUAUUUACUGUCUUCUAGAUCUGUUUGUAGGCAAUUUACAUUUGAACUCCUCUUGAAUAAUUUUCAGUAUAAUAUUUAUGGUCUGAAAGUAUAUGAAAUGGUGUCAGAAACCAGCCUUCUUUUGCAGCACUGAGAAGUCCUCUCCCUGGGUCCUUUAAGUUAUCUGUUUUCCCUUCGUGUAUUCUUUCAUGUUGUGCUCUGCCUUCUGAUGGGUGAUACAUGACGAGGAAUUGGGAAGCAGCAAGCUCUGUGGCUCUGCUGCUGGUGUGCUUCAUACAUUUGUGAAGAAGUAGACCCACAUCAUAAAACCAACCGAAAGCCACGGAGGUACCUCUCUAAAAAAUGUAAUGGACUGUACUGAAAGCCUAACUUUGACUGAUGUGAGGUUUGGGACUUUAUCCAGGUAAGAAUUCAUGCAGCAAUGAGCACAGAUAAGGCAGAUGACCCAGAGUAGGGCCAAACUGUUUACCAGCAGAUGUGUUUUUGAAAAUCUUCCUUAACUGGUCAUGGCAGCGGAAAAUACCCUGCUGUUAAACGCAUCUGCAAUCCACUGCGCUCCCAAUCCACCUACAAAAAUUCUGACCUUUAAAGAAAUGAUGGAGAAGCUGGUGAUUUUUUCCAUGGCAUUGAAGCUCAGUCUAUUUUAGGCUCCAAGGCAAUUGCAGCCCUUUUUGCUCCCUAUUUCACAUCACUUUUAAGUCUUGUUCUGGCCACUAUGAACCCUUCAGCACUUCUCCCUGUGCAAUCACUCGAGUCAAGAUCUGUGAUUUGUGAUUUGCAGAUGACAUGUACAUUUCUUGGCUGAUGGCUGUUAAGGCAGUUUGCAAACCUAAGGCAAUAAACUGCAGGGAUGCAUUUGAAGCUCUGUUUUG